UACGAAGGGUGCAAGCGUUACUCGGAAUUACUGGGCGUAAAGGGUGCGUAGGUGGUUGUUUAAGUCUGUUGUGAAAGCCCCGGGCUCAACCUGGGAAUGGCAAUGGAUACUGGACAGCUAGAGUGCGGUAGAGGGUAGUGGAAUUCCCGGUGUAGCAGUGAAAUGCGUAGAUAUCAGGAGGAAUACCGAUGGCGAAGGCAGGUCUCUGGCUGACACUGACGCUCAUGCACGAAAGCGUGGGGAGCAAACAGG
rnacentral:rRNA from 1 species